rnacentral:lncRNA from 12 species
CAUGUAGCCCCGCCCCCCAUCCUCCUGGAGUCUGAACAAAGCCUGCAAGCCCACCUAAUAGCCUGGGGCAGGAGGAAGACAGACCAUUAUGCAUCAACCAGGAGGGCAGUCAAGGCCUUCUUAGAGGAAUUCAGAAAGUGUGGUGGCUGUUCAGAGUGAGGAAGACCCCUCUCGCUGGCUUGGCAGAGUCCCAGGACCUUCCCAGUGUGAGCCCACCGAGAUGUCACCUCCUCCCCACGGCCUGCCCGUCUCUGCUCCUGGGAAGCCAAGCUGGGCAGCGGUGGGUUAAGCCAGCCUCAUCAAAUAUGUGCUCAUGAAAAAUGUAAAAUGUUCCAAGGAUGCAGCUUAAUAAAUGUCAGCAGAGCAUGUUUGACAACACAAGUUGGUGGUGGUGCCUCCGACCCACACUACGACUGCAAGCCUGUUUCUUCACAAGGAAGUCCUUGACUGGAUGCUCUCUAGAUUGCUCUCAUUCACUGCCGUCCAACCCCGCUGCUGGAGCCACCACCCCUCCACCAGCCCCAACGCUGGCCACUAGCUGUUACAAUAUGUUUUACAGGCAAAAUGUCUCAAGAAUUUGAGAAAAACAGUGAAUCACUAGUCCCCAAAGAACCUGGAAAAUUUUCUUCAGUUCUUCAAUAGAGAAAUUUCACUGCCACAGUCAAAUCAUUUAUUGGCUGAUCGUUUUUCUCCCCAUGCUUAGAACGUAAGCACUUUUGCUCUGCUUCACUACUAUGUCCCUGGGGCCCGGAAAGUGCCUGGUAUAAAACAGAGCUCACCGUAUAUCUUCUACUUAUCUUGACUUGGGUCAAGUUCAUCAGGCUCACAUAUUUGAGGUAAUGUUGCAUAUUUGUGACUUGUUUCUUUGUACAAAUCGCUGUGUUGUGAUCCUACUUCUGAAUUUUGCAUAAACUUGAGAGAAUUAAAGAAAGGCUAUCCCCUUAAUCUCCUAUAACAAAUAAAAGGAGUCUGCUUUGUUAGCUCUGGCCA